GGAAGAGGAUGGGGCCCGGUGGCUCUCGCGGACUUCAACUCCGUUGGCGGGUGUUCGCACUCGCGGUGGGUUCGACUCCUACCCCUUCCGCCA
rnacentral:tRNA from 1 species